CAACAAGCAUUUCACUGUGCAAUUGGAUAAAACAGAGUGAAAACUAAAAGAAAGCCGGAGAAGGCUGUGGCUGCUGGUGCCAACUUCUGAAUUUCAGUGAUGGCACAACAGAGGAAGGCAACAGAAGACAACCAGAUCAGAGGAAGUGGUAAAACCAUAGUUAAUAUCCCUGUUAUGAAAGAGGAACGUCUAAAGUAUACUGUGUGA
rnacentral:lncRNA from 1 species